UGAGAUUCCUUGUUUCUUGAAUCUUCUUGUUAUCAUCCAUGGCCGCAAAAGAAAGAUCCAACAAGCUUCCCAUAUCUUGGGAACAACAAAGGGCAGAAGAACGAGUGCUAAGAGGUUGAUUGUGCUUUGAAAUUCCAUUGAAAGAAACAAAGGAGUUUGUACUUGUAUUUCUGAUUUGAAGAGGCACAUCUUGUUAUUGUUUAAAUAGAAAUGUAACUAAUAUAAUAUUUGGAAGAAACACAUUAUUUUCGUAGGAUUCAUUUAUUAUAUACUCCAUAUAUAUUAUUAAGGCUUGAAUCUCUCAAAUGACCUUAAAAUAUAUAUCUUUUGCCAAAAAAACAUACAAAGAGUAAAAUGACCAAGAGAGAUUUCAUAAAAAUGCAAAAGUUUUAUACCCUUAUUUAUAGAUAUGUCAAUAUAAAUAAUUAAUAUUUUUCUUAUUUUUAAAGAAACAUUUUACAAUUCAAACUUUUUAUUUUUCAAAAUAUUUUUUCGGAAAUUAUUAUUUUCCUUUUUUCUGAAAUUUUAUUUUGAAAUCUGAUAUUUUUUUAAACGAUUGCAAAAUUAUGAUUUAAAAUUUUAAAUAUUAUUUUUGUACAAUUAAACCCUACGUUUAUAUUUGUUAAGCCUAAGAUAUACAUGUCUUUUACCUAUUUAAUAAACUUAUUUUGGUUGUUUUGACAUUUGUGUAUUAUAUUUAUGAUUAAACAAUUAAUGUUAUCAUAGAGAAUUUCUCUAUAUUAAAUACCAUAGCCCAACUGGGUGCUUGUGGUCUGGUGGUAAAGGGUUCACAACUGUGAGUUCCGUCACCUAGGUUUGAUUUCCGGCCCGACCGUCGAUUAAAAUGAGGUGAAAAAGGUGAUCUGGAUUCUUUCGGCGGGCUUCCGGCUUAGCUUUGGUGGACAAUCAUUAAACACUAGUCGGAUCUCUUUCGAUGGCAUUCGGAUACUAUGGUCAUCAAAACAAAAAUAAAAAUACCAUAGCCCUUCGUUCUAUUAUAUUUAGCUUCACAUUUCAGUACAUUUAAUUUUGGAUUGUGUAUCUUAUAUUAAAAUUGAUUCAAAGAUGCCAUUAGCAAUUGAUAAACUAUGCUUUUGUCAGUUUCUAACCUUUGUUUUGUCGUUUAUCGAGUUACAAUAUGUGUUUUUAGUCUUUUUAUUCUUUAUCGAGUCUUUUUAGGUAUUAGGACUUUUUGGAAUUGAAUGUGUUGACUUGGGUGUAAAGAAGCAUUAAAAGAUGUAGAGUUGUGUAGAUACAUCAGAAGUUAGCAACAGAUAUGGAGGAUUUUUCACCAAUGGACUGAGCUAAAAUUUGGAUACUUGAUAGACAAUUGAGUUAUUUUUCCAAUGGAACCGAUUUUAGGUUGAUCCAACGGUUAGAUUGAAAGUUAUGCAUGUUUUACUUAAGACUAAUUUUUCACUAAUUCAAUACGAAAAAAGGAAAAUUUUGGUUUACCUUAUUAGAUUUCUAUGGAGAUAUUUUCUAUGGGGGAGACGAUGCUAUACUAUAUUUCUAGAGAAAAUUUUUGAACUCCUUGAUGUCUAUUGAUAUCCCUUAUAUAUUAAAAGAUAAGUAUUACAAUAUUUGAAGUAGCCAUGUGUCAUCACCACAAUCAUUUUUAGAAUUCUUAGAGAAAUAGGUUGGUACAUCUAAAUAUAUAAUAUACUUUUAAUUAAACUAACCAUAAAUUAAUUAUUAAUGUUUUCAAUUCUUUCAUUAAAUAAAAAUUACGGAAUUACCUAAUGUGGCUAAAGUAUAUAUGACAAUUAAUGAAUUUUCAUAAUAAAGAUUUGAUACAAAUUAGUGUAUUCUCUAUUAUUUUUGUUUAACUUUAAGUUACUAAAAUAGAUUAAACAAUCACAUUAACCAUAUAAUAAAAAUGUAGAUUUUUCCGUAUAUUUUAUAUUUUGAACUUUUUAAAAAAUUUCACAUUAAAUUUUUUAUGAUCCAUGAUUUAAAUUUUUUUAUGCCAAGAUACAAAUUAUUACAAAAUCAUGUAAGUAGAAAGUCUCAUAUAUAUUAAUAUCUUUCAAUUAAAUUAUAUACCAUAGAAAAUACAUAAAUAUUUUAAUUUUGAAAUUUGCUUUGAAGAAUUUUUUUUUGAUAAAAUCUCUGAACAAAUACUAACACCUUAAUAUUUAAAUUUUAAAUUUGCAUUGAAUGUUUAUAAAAAUUAUAAAUUACUAAAACUUUCAAAAACAUUGCACAAUAAAAAUUUGUUAUCAGCGAUUUAAUUUUUUGUUAUAAAAGAUACUAAUAAGUAGAACACAUCAUUUAACAAUAUAUCAAUAUUAAAAAUAUAUUGUUUAUCUAUGUAUAUAUUAUGUAAAUUUAAUUAUAUAAAAUAGAAAAUAGAAAAACUGAUUGUUUGGAUUAAUAAAAUUUAUUUACGUAUUUACAACAAUUUAAUUAUAUACGUAAUAGUUAUUUGACUUUUUCAUUGUCCAAUAUAUAUAUAUAUAUAUAUAUAUAUAUAUAUUAUUUUAUAAUAUAUAAAAGAACAUACUAUACGUAAAAUAAUUUAUAUAUACGAUGUUCAUCCCGCCUAAGGCGCGGAUCUUAAUAUAGUUAUGUUUUACUCAGUAAUCCUCUAAACUUUGAUUUCUACGGCUGAGUAAUCUACUUGUUAAGUUUAGGGUUCAAGUGAAUUCACGGAUUAAUGAUUAUGAUUUGAUAGAAUAGGGAAUAAUCUAUCAGUUCUUUUAUCUAGGUUAUUUUUAAAGCUUGAAUUGAUCACCUAGUUCCUUACGUGGACACUAAGAGGCGGACACUAAGAGAGAGAGAGAGAGAGAGAGAGAGGAGAGUUGAUCGCGUUAAAUGGCACGUGGACACUAAGAGGCGGACCUUCCAAGCCUUACGUAAGAGGCGUGCCUUCGCCUUUCUUCUUUUUUUUUUAAUUUUUUUUUUAAUUAAAAUUUUUCUAAGAGACUUCAUUAGAGUCAGCGAUAAUGCUGCUCUAAGAGCAUUAAUAUCGGUGCCUCUUAAGGCUGACCCUUCAAAAAAAAAUAAUUUAAAAUCAUUUGUGUCCCACCAUUAUUUAAAACCUGCCUAUUCUACCUAUUCCGUAAGAGGUGAGUUUGUGAGGGUUUUGCCACUUUUCACGGGCUCCACUGAUACGUAGCGGCCAGCGAUUAGUCAAUUUUUAGUUUAAAAAAAAAAAAAUCGGACAAAACAAAAAAAAAAAAAUAAUAAAAAAAUUAGAACCCACUCUUCCUCCCCUUGCGUUAAUGCUGCUCUUAUUGGUAGAUUGUUUAGUGCACUAAAAUCUUCUAUUAAAUGCUUGAAUGAACCUACAUGAGCAAAAUAUUAAUCUUAGCUAAUGAAAUUUGAUGGUAUGAAGUUUCGUGAACCUAUCAAACUUGGUUUUAUUGUAUGUUUAGAACCAGAAAUUCAACGGAAAUUAGUCUUUAGGAUUAUAAUAUACAUAGGGUUUAGUAUUACGGAAGUAGGCUAGUCUCAUUAAGUAAUUUCAGUUCUAGAACGGAUCUUAAUACAUUCCCUGUUGAACAAUUAUAUCAUCUAAUAUGUGUUUCCUGAUAUUCGUGAGACCUGAAGCUACUUUGCUUCAUAAGUUUACAUCAUUCUUCGCUUUCUGCUUUUACUUUUUUUGCAACUGAAAACUACAAACAAAUUUAUUUUGUCUUAGUUUAAUUCUACUUUUGAAAGUUGUAAUUUUAGUUUUUAUGGAUUCGAUAUCUAAAAUACCACUACACUUUAUUGUGCAAUUGCAGUAUAUUUUUAAGGGUAAAACCUGAUUUUAUCAGCAAUAAAAACAUAUACUAUUUUAGCUCUUAUUAGUAUUUUCAUUUUGUAACCACGUACGUAUAAAUAUCAUUCAACUAGGGUUGGCCCGCCCUACGGGCGGGAUAUUAGUUAAUUUGAUAUUCACUAAAUGCUCGAGUUGAAAUUUGUUUUAAGAUUCAAGAAUUUGGUUAUCUGUUAUGUCUUACUUAUUAGUAUACGGUGGUAUAAUUGUUUUUCGAUUAUUCUUGCUUUGGUAUUGUAUCAAAUUAACUAAUUGCCCAACUCAUAAUUAUAGAUGUACAAAUGUGGAUUUGUGAUAAAGCUUGAUGACAAUACUGUUUUUUUUUUAUUAUUAUUCAUAGUGGAGUGUGCAUGUAUCAGAAAGAGGCCUAUAACAACUUUUAUGUUUUUGUGUAUGGAUUUUAAAUAUAUACUAGAUUUUGACCCGCGCUUUCAAAGCGCGGAUUUAUUUAUUUAUUUUUUCAAUUGAAAUGUCAUAUUUUCAUAUAUUUGUGUUUUAUUUUAUAAAAGACUUACACUUUUUAUCUUUAUUUAUCAUAUUUUAUUUUAAAUGACUAUUUAUGUUUAAAAAAUUAAACUUUAUUUCUUUAAUGAAUUAAAUUGGUAUAACUCUGAUAAAUUAAUUUUAUUAUGUGGUUAAUAUUUUAAUAAAAAAAUUAUAUACUUUUAAUAAAGAUUUAUACUUUUCAAUAAAAAAUUCAAUUUUUUAUGAAUGUUUAAAUUAUAUUAAGAAAAAAAAAUUAAGUAUAGUUGAAAAAAAAUUAUUUGAACUUGGACUCAAUGGCCCAAAGGAAAAAAAAUGUGAGAAUUGGAUCUGAUUUCUUAAUCGGCCCAAAUGGCCCAAGAGAGAUCUGAUGUGGGCUGGAUAAAAAAAAAUACCCAAUAUAGAUGUGUUAUUAAAAUUACUUGAUUGCCCUUAAUGAAACAUGCAAUGUUAGUAAAGAAAGGGCAGGCUAAGGUAAUUUUUAAAAUAGGAUCCUGCUUUAAUAGUAUAGAUUAUUCUGUAUAAUGCAUACUUGCUCUACAACAUUUGCUUGUAGACUAAAAAAAUUAUUUUUUAUAUUUUUAAAAGAGAAAAUAUUUAGUUUAGAAUAUAACAUGGACAUAUGUAUUGACUAUAUAUAGAAGUUGGGUGUUAUUUUAAAAUGACAUAUGUAUAGAGAUUUUUCAACCAUUACUUCACUGGCACAAAAUAUUUAUAACUGUAAAUACAUUCUUUUAAAAGCAAAACUAAUAAAAGCGUGUACAACAAAUGUAUUUUGAUAUAUAUUAUAUGCAUCAAGUUAUAAAGGUUAGAAACAUUGCAAAACUGUUUGGAGCAAAGUUUUUAACUUCACGAUCUUCAUCUUGACGUCAGUUCAGUGUCGGCCCUAGCCACAAGUAGAAGAAGCAUGAGCUUCCAGCUGACACGAUAAUAAGUAUUUUCGCGGCCAUAUAUUUAUAAAAAGUGACUUUAGCUUAGUGGUUUUAAGAGAAAUUAUUAAUGCUAGAGGUGCUGGGUUCGAUUAUCCUUAUCUGCAUUCAUUUAAUUUUGGCCCUAAAUAUAAAAUGGGACACGUGUCACUUCCAGAACGCACGAAUUGAUGACGUGGCUUCACGGGAGAGAGGCGAACAUUUCUUUAUAUAUAUAGAUUCUUUUCAACCAUUAUUCCAAAAUAGAUUUAGCACUAAAUAUAAAAGUACAGUCAAAUUAUAGAUGAAAAGUCAAGUUAUAUAACAACUAGCAUUGCUUGGUUAAUAGAUGAAAAAAGUCAAGUUAUCUGAAAACAAAUCAGUUUUUCUUCUUAUUAUCCGUUUUAUUUAUGGUUAUGGGUCGCAAGUGAAGCGUAUCUACGGGUUCCUUUACUUUGAGCACGUCUCUCCUUUUAACAUUUCUUUCUCAUGUUUUAUUGUACUGCUUUUAGUGUUCAUCUUACCUUUGAGUGUUCCUCCGGUUGUUACCGUCCGUUUGUAGUUCUUUAAGCCUUUAGGCCUUUAAUAUAUGGUCGUAAACUUUUAUUUGUGCUGAAACCUAAUAAUAGAGCAUCAAAUUACCAAAUCCUCUUGGUUUGUUAUCUUCCUCACCUUUGAGCAGUAGUAUCGAGAGGCUUAAGCAUUACGGGUAGGCCGUACUGCGGAUAGAUUUUGAAGUAAUCAACCGGUGCGUGCUUAUAUUCAGGGGAGAGGAUGAUCCCGAACCGUUGAAGGACUGUCUUGGUUUCCAUCAUGGCGAAGUUUUGGGCAAUGCAAGUUCUUGGUCCAACUGAGAAGGGAAGGAGUCCGUUUGGGUGAUUGGCCGCUUGAGAAACACCAUUUUCGAACCGCAGAGGAUUGAAUUGUUGUGCGUGCCCUUGCCCUUGGGGAUAUCCAAAUGUCCUAUCUUAAUAUCUUGUGUUGCUUCUCUGACCAUUUUAGUCACCGGUCCGUACAGACGAAGCGACUCCAUUAACACCAUGUUCAUCUGUAAGGUAGAAAACGAUUUUUUCAGCCACAAGUGUUAAAUACAUUUUCUUUCCUACAUCGAAAGCUAGAAGAAAUUCUAAAUAAUAAUAAUAUAUAAAAUAGAUGAGUCAAUCCACUUAUUAAUUGCAGAAUUUUUUCAUGAAACUGGAACACAUUAAUUACCAAUUUAAGUCUCGAGAAAGUGUCUGAAUCUGGGAUCUUAUUACCACAUUCAUUGAAAACCUCUUCUCUGAGUUCCUCUUGCCAAUAUUGGUUCAAGCUCAGUAACAACAUAGUCCAUGACUUUUUCAAAAAAAAAACAACAUAGUCCAUGUCAACAGAAUCAUACUAUUUACUUGCCCUGAGAUAUAUAUAUAUAUAUAUCCUUGCAUUCUUUUAUGAAACCCCAUCGCUGUCUCAGACUCCUUAGAUGUUGCAGCUUUCAACUUGAUCCCUAGCAGAUUGUCUCCAUAGUUCAUGAAAUUUGAUUUUAGCCUUGCAUCUAUCAUUUUUUGAUUGAGUUCUUCACUUUCUUAUCAGGCUUCCAUAGUUGAAGGUGUUGGUUGGUGUAAGAAGGUAUCUUGGGAAACAAGAAACAAAAAGAUUAUAUAUAAAAAAAAGAAAGAAAGAAAGAUUAUAUAUGUUUUCUGUCUGAACAUUAGCUGACUAUAUAUUAUUGUAUUUACUGUUUUCCUGGGAUGAAGACGCUUGUGAGAGAAGCAACAAAAUAUUCCUCAAGCUCUGACUGUGAUCUAAACAACUCAGUCCCUUCCUCAUAACUGCUUCCAAACGCAGUGGUCGCUAUGAUAUCAGAGAUCAAUCUGUGGUAAUCUUUGUUAAUCUCCAUCCUCAUCAUCACUUCUUCACCACAAUUCUGUUAUAACUCCUCCAACAUCCUCAAGGUGCAAUCCACCAUCCAUUUGUCAUGACCUAACAAUUAUUAGCAAUUUAUUAAUUAAUUAGUUACAUUUUUUUUCAAAUAUGCGUGAAAAUGUUAUACUUAAACCUAACGCGAGAAAUAAUGCAGAAACAGAUAAAUAAAUGCAAUAAAAUAAACGAUUUAACGAGUUCCACCAACUUCGUUACAUUUACGGGUAAAGAAUAUUGAAUAGGAAUGGUAAAAGACCUUGAGUCGGUCCAAUAUAGAAAUGUUUCUCUUAAAACAUACCAUCAAAGGGGAACUUACAUGUGUUAAGCAAUGCUCAUUUAAAGGACGAUAAACAAAUAUUUUUUAUUAUUUGUGAUUUGCUUGAGUUUUAAUGAUACGUAAUUUUAAUAUUUGUUUUACUCCGAAAAAAUUGGAAUCUGAUUUUUUUAAAAAAAUCGAAUGAAUAAUAUAUCGAAUAAAAUUUAAUAGAUAAAAUAUUCAGUUCUACACUGUUUUUAUGUCCAAAAUGAUCUGGAUUGGUACAACAAAUCAAGCGAAGUGUUCAGAAUUUUUUUCUCUCGUAUAAACGACUUUUCUGAUAUAAAACAUGUAAAAAGAAUUAAAACUGGGAAAAACUUGCAUGUUGGACAGUUGGAGCAAAGAUCAGAAAACUACUUCACGUAGGCAGCGCAACAACUGAUACUAAUUUUUUUUUUUUUUUGAAAAUAACAACUGAUACUAAUUAAUUAUUGUUCAAAUAAAAACAAAGUCUGACUAACUACUCAAUCCACGUGUGGUUUUUGGUGACGGGAAACGUACGUAGGAUUUCAGUGUGUGAGCUCGCAAAAGUUUAUAUGGCUGGUUUGAUUUUGUGAGGAUAGGUUAACUGUGUGUAAACCACUUUGGAUCGUGCAAUACAUAUCAUCAAUGUAAAUAACAAAGAUCUAAUGGUGUUACUCACCGUUGGAAUCCUUAACAAUAGAAUAAUAGUUUUUUUACUUUUUUGAAUAGGUAAGGGUCCUAAUCAAAAUACUAAGUCCAAUGGUGUUAUCCAUUAUGAAUCCUUAGAAAUGAACAUGUAUCCUUGUCAUAUUUCUCAGUUCACUUAAAAGAAGAUCAUAAUUAUAAGGACAAUAACAAAGAUCAUUGUAAUAAAAAUUACCAGAGUGGUUGUAGGAGUUAAGGUUGCAGAGAUUGUUGGCCUUCUUGCUGAACUGAACCUUGCUGUUGCCUCUUCCGAACUGUUUGACCAAGAAACAGUUCAGGACAACGAAGGUGAGCCAUUAAGCCCUGCUUCAUCCACCCUGCACGUUUCUCCCUGUUUUUGGCCAGUGAGAUCCAGAAAACGGUUCUUGAGCUCCAUAGAAGAACAUUCAGUCCAUUGGUUUUGUCCUGGAACCUACAUUGCAAUCAAGUGUUAUCAUAUUUAAAUAUCUUUGACACCCCAGCAACAACAACAACAAAUAAACGUCAUCUUUAACAGAGUAGAAAAGAGAAAAUAACUAAGUUAAUAGACAAACCAAAAUUCAACACAUCUUUAGUAGAAGAAACCAUAACAUACAAUACACAUACCUUGUAAGCACCAGCAUAGAAUUCAUUUCCAAGCAUGUCCUGUAUCAUUCCACGGAACCGAACAAGAGUGUUGGGCUGCACCCACUUGAUACUUGACGAAUCAAGAAUUGGAACCUACAGUGAACACACACACAAACAAAUUGAUUAGUUCAAAAAACUGAUAACAGAUCCUAUAGAGAGUGUCUUUAUAAUAUAUAAUAAAGCUACAACAUUUAGGUUAUAACCUUCAAGAGCUUUCGAAUGUGUUGUUUCAGGGACGAGGAUAGUCUAUCUCCACGGCCAGGUUCCAGGUACACAGAUAAGUCUGCAAGACGCAACUAAAACGGCGCAAGAUUAGUUUUAACAAGAGGGUCUUUCUGUGAAAGCAAGUAACUUUUACACAAACUUGAUCAUAAACCAAGCGAUCAAAGCACACAGUGAAUCAAACUUAAACGCCAUCUAUCAUGUUGCAUUAUUAUUAACAAACAUAAAACACACAAGUUCUUAUCUUUAGACUAUCAACAUGCUUUUCAAUCAAAUCAUAUUAGUGAAUUCCAGACCCAAAUAUUUCAUAGAACAUGCGAAAAAAUCUAAUAACGAAGAAGAAAUGAUUCAUCAUUCUUUGUGUAACGACGGAAGGAAUCAAAGGGAGAAAGAGGAUCGAGUCUGGAAGAAGCUCUUUUUAUGAGGUCGUGAACCUUCUUCUUCUUCUCCAAUAUCUGCACCAACAAGUAAUCCAAUUAUCAAAUUUCAAAUCGAAAUUUCGAAAACUCUGAGAAAACAAAGUUUCGAAAUUUUUUUCUCUCUCUACAAAUCUACGCCACAAAGAAAAAGGAAGAAGCGUAGAGACAGAAGCACCAAACGUGUUCGUUGCACAAAAUGAAAUUUGGGGGAGAAACAAAAGUUGCAGAGAUGUUCGUUGAUGACGACGAAAGGAUUAGGAGGCGAUGAAAGAGAAGUGGAGGAGGGGAGAAGAGAGGAUGCCACGUAUUAAGGAUUUCUCUUUUUUAAUUCUUAACUAAGAAUUAAUUCUUAAGUUUUUUCAUUAUUUUAAUCAAAUUUAAUUAUAAAGCAUUAAGAAUUUUUGUCUAAGGAUUUGUUAGGAUUCCGCGUUGCAGAUGGUCUAACUACUCUGUCCAAAAGCUCUAGUUUUCAACGUUAAUAUUAAUGCGUAUAUAGCAACGAGCAUUUAUUAGAGCUUAUAGAUUAAAAAAUAUCACUUAUCUAAUUUAGACGGGUACAAACAAACAUCUUUUCUGCCACGUUAUUCACAUCCAACAUCCAUGAAAAUGUUACUAACGAAUUCUCUAAUCAGCUUUUCUUCUUAUUAUUCUCCGUUUCAUUUAAGCAUAUAUACAUUGAACUUUACCAAACUCAUUGAGAUUCUUGGUUUGUAAUCUUCCUCACUUAGUAUCGAGAGGCUGAAGCAUUACGGGUAGGCCGUACUGUGGAUGGAGAUUGAAGUAGUCAACCGGUGUAUGCUUAUAUUCAGGGGAGAGGCUGAUCCGGAACCGUUGAAGGAUCAUAGUGAGCACGGUCUUGGCUUCCAUCAUAGCAAAGUUUUGAGCAAUGCAAGUUCUUGGUCCAACUGAGAACGGAAGAAGUGCGUUUGGCUGAUUGGCGGCUUGAGAAACACCGUUUUCGAACCGCAGUGGAUUGAAUUGUUUGGCGUCUUCUCCCCAUAUGGCCUUGUCGCUGUGCAUCUUAAGAAACGGGACGAUUAUGCUCGUACCCUUGGGGAUAUCCAAAUGUCCUAUCUUCAUAUCUUUUGUUGCUUCUCGGACCAUUUUAAUCACGGGUCCGUAUAGACGAAGAGACUCCAUCAACACCAUGUUCAUCUGUAAGGUAGAAAAUAGAUUUCUUCAGACACAAGUAUUAGAGACAUCGUUCCAAUUGAAAAUUAAAAUGAAUCUAAUUAAUAUAUUAAGAACAAAUCCUACAUCGAAAUACAAAAAUCCUAAAUAAUAAUAACAUAUAUGGGAGAUAAACCAAUCCACUAUCACCUGUUGAAAAUGUAUCAAACUUAAUAACAAAAAAAGAAGUCCAUAUUAAUUACCAGUUUAAGUUUUGAGAAGGUGUCUGAAUCUGGGACCGUAUCUUUACCACAUUCAUUGAAGACCUCUUCUCUGAGUUUCUCUUGCCAAUCUUGGUGCAAGCUUAGUAGCAACGUAGUCCAUGUCAAUAGAAUCGAACUACUUCCUUGCCCUGAGAUAUAGAAAGUCUUGCAUUCUUCUAUAACCUCAUCCAUACUCAUCGUUUUCUCAGACUCCUUAGAUGUUGCAGCUUUCAACAUGAUCCCAAGAAGAUCGUCUCCAUAGUUGUUAGAAUUUGAUUUAAGCCUUGCAUCUAUAAUUCUUUUGAUCGAGUCCUUCACUUUCUUAUCGAGCUUCCAUAGUUGAAGGUUGGUUGGCGUAGGAAGGUAUCUUGGAGAAAAAAAACAAAAGAAUAUUCAUCUAUACAUUUUCUUGUCUGAACUAAAUGCUGACAAUGUAUUGUACUUACUGUGUUCCUGGGAUGAAUACGCUUGUGAGAGAAGUAACAAAAUAUUCCUCAAGCUCUGUCUGUGAUUUAAACAAUUCAAUCCCUUCCUCGUAGCUGCUUCCAAACGCAGUGGCCGCGAUGAUAUCAGAUAUUAAUCUGUGAAAGUCUUUGUUAAUCUCCAUCCUCAUCAUCACUUCUUCACCACUUCUUUGUUGUCUCCACUCCUCCAACAUCCUCAACGUGCAAUCCACCAUUCGUUUCGUCAUGACCUGACAAAUAUUAGCAAAUAAUUAAAUUAUAUUUUGCUCAAAAGAGCUGAAAAAUAUAUGAUUUCGUGUUUUAUAUUUUAAUUAAUGCAAUUUGUUUUGAAAUUUAAAAAAAAAUCAGUAUUUAAAAAUAGGAACAUUGAGAUAUCUAUUGGAAAACAAAAGAAUAUUAAAUAAAUGUAAAUGUUUACUGUUUUUAAAUUUAGUUUUUUUCUUAAAUACAGAGGGAGUAGUAAACAAAAACUAAAACCACCUUGAGUCUGUCCAUGGAGAAAGCAGGGUUCAAGAUUCGUCUAUGGCGAGCCCAGUCAUCACCCUCUAUGAAAGGAAGUCCUUUACCAAAAAGUAUGAAGACCUCGGGUCUUGUCUUUGCUAUGACAGCGAAACCUAACUUUCUCGACAAGAUCUGUUUCCCUAGUUCAGGAUCUGAGAUGAAUAGCGUCGGUUUUGUUCCGUUCCAGUAUAUAAAUGUUUCUCCUAUAAUAAAUACAAUCAAAGAGAACUUGCAUGUGUUAAUCAAUGCUCAUCUUAAAGGACCAUAAUCAAAACAAGUUUCACGAAACGGCACCGUAUUGAGAUAGCCAGUUGUGGUAAUGAGGAACCACACGAGGGAAGAUAUCGUUGGAGUUGGGAUCGAGAACCCAAUCCUUAGCUUCUUUCUUCAUCUUCUUUAUCUCCUUGAGGUUUCCGUACACGAAUCUGUAUUUUGGGCCUGAGAUUCCUUGUUUCUUGAAUCUUCUUGUUAUCAUCCAUGGCCGCAAAAGAAAGAUCCAACAAGCUUUCCAUAUCUUGGGAACAACGAAGGGCAGAAGAACGAGUGCUAAGAGAUUGAUCGUGCUCAGGAGUUCCAUUAAAAGAAACACAAAGGAGUUUGUACUUGUAUUUCUGAUAUGAGUAAGCACAUCUUUUUUAUAGUUGAAAUAGAAAUGUAAUUAAAAU
rnacentral:lncRNA from 1 species